UACGUAGGUGGCAAGCGUUGUCCGGAAUUACUGGGCGUAAAGCGUGCGUAGACGGUUAUUUAAGUCGGAUGUGAAAGCCCCGGGCUCAACCUGGGAAUUGCAUUCGAGACUGAAUAGCUAGAGUACGGUAGGGGCAGAGGGAAUUUCCGGUGGAGCGAUGAAAUGCGUAGAGAUCGGAAGGAACACCCAAGGCGAAAGCACUCUGCUGGGCCGACACUGACACUGAGAGACGAAAGCUAGGGGAGCAAAUGGG
rnacentral:rRNA from 1 species